rnacentral:lncRNA from 1 species
GUAGAAUGAUACUUCUAAUCAAUUUUCUUUAUUUGGGUUAAGUUUUGAGUUAGUUACCAUUUCUGUUAUGGCUGUCAUAUGUAGUGUCUGCAAUUUAAUAGUGGCAUUUAAGUGUUGGUUCAUAAACAGUUGUUAUGCAUGUUUGGUUGUUGGGGUUUUUUUAAAUUAUUAUUAUUUUUUCAUUUUUCUAUAAAAUCCAGGAUUGCAUUAAUGCUGUAUUUUGUUUUACAUGAUCAUUGCAGGGCAUGAUUUCUCACGGAAAUAUGGAUGAUGCCAUGUGUUAUGAGAGCUGAUAACCAAUUCCUGCUUAUAACAUUGUUACAAACAUUUUCAGGUUUCACUCAAACAUUUCUGUCAUGUAACUUUCAUGUUGAACUCUUUUAUACUUGCCAGGUGUUAUAUGAAUGUUAAGAGUGUUUAAAGGUGACAAUAAAAUACACUCUGGCCAAUCCUUCAUUACUUUUUGGACAAAAAUCCAUUCUAAACUGAUGCUGCAAUUUGGGUGUAGUUUUUACUUUGUUGUACUAUGCACCAUAUAAAUUAAUAGUUAUACUGCUGAUUUUGAAGUUGCACUUACGGCAUGACAGUGACAUGACAUUAACUUUCAAAGUUAGGCAAUACCAAUUCAUAAUCUGAAUCUAGGGUAAAGUACCAGUAUAAAUCUUCUGACGUAAAUUUAUUCGUAAAAAUUUAAUGACAUAAAUGAAGUCUGUUCACUUUGGAGAUUUUUGUUUGUUUUUCCAGUAAAGCUGCUUUGGCUAGACUGGGAUUUGAUCCAAAGCCCAUGAGAGUCAUAGACAGCAUUAAUAAAGUAAAACUUUAUUGAAAAGAAACUCUGCAGUCAGGUUGACCUUUAUGCCUUUGCAGUAUUUCUGUCUGCAGAAUACAUUUGGAGUGGUUUGCUUUAAGACUUCAGUAAUAUAAAUCUGAGGGAUUUUAAUUCUGGUAAAAUUGUAAGCAUACUACUGUAACUGGUCACAAAAAAUAUUUCCCUAUAGCCAGCAUACAGCUUAAUUAUUUAGAAGGCAAGUUUGUUUAGCUACAUGACUUCUCUUUUAAAUCAGCAGUACAAGAAGUGUUAACCACUUAGUUAUACUUCUAGAAGAACUUUCUUCUAGAAUCCACUAGAAUAUGUGGUCAUAGUCAUUAGCCUUGAGGAUCAACUUCCUCUUAAUGAUUUCUGAUUUGACAUUUCCAUUUACAUUCAGUUGGCAAAGCAUGCAAUGGGACAUUUCCUUUCCUCUCUUGGUAAAGCUACUGUAAUUGUAUUUGGCUGUCCUAGUUCUCUAUAUUGUUAGAAAUUUAACAUAGAACACAAAUCUAACACACAAAUGUGCCUCUACUUGGUUACCUGUGUUCUCACUCUCCCCUGAAAUAUUGCGUUGUUACAUCCAGUACUAGUAGGUUACCAUACUUUCCAGAAUGCCGCCUGUGAUGUGGAACGCAUCCACAAUUUCAUCUGGUUUUCAUACCCUGCUUUUAAAAAGCGUAAAAGGCUUUUCUCUGAGGAAUUUUGUAUAAAGCAACUGUUCGGUUCUACAAGCGCAGAGUUCUUUAGCUGCAUCUCCGUUUAUAAAGUUGCAUCUAGUGUUCUUUUUUUAAUGAACUUUUGAGUGUUUUGUCAGGGAAGGUGCACAAAUUUUGUAUAUGUUCCACAGAAGAAAUAUGACUGGAUACUGGAAUGGCUCAGAAAUAAGAAUUCAGGGAUGUUUCUGUAGUUCCUCACAUAUGUUCCAGCAGUUUUUCCGCCUUUUUUCCUUUUUUUUUUUUUUUUUUUUUUUUAAACCAACCAACACCAGAUUCCUUACUUAGCAAGCUGAGGAAAUUAGCGAUUUAGCAUAGAAAAUAUUUUAUUAUAUGCGAAUUACUGUGUUUUCAUUAGGGAUAUCCUUCAAUAUAUUACUGAUAUUGUUAGCCCAUAAGUCUUUUCUUCCUUUUCUGUGUUAUAGGUGAUGCUUCUACCUAAAUCUGACCUUCUGCAUGCCAAUUAAACGAGUUCCUCUACCUGAAUAACUUCUAAAAUAUUUUUAGAGUCUCCUUCUUUUUCCCUAGCCAGGGGAAGAGCAGGGGCUUUCCAGCCAAGCAGUAUCCCUUCCCUACGAGAGAAGAAAAAGAACCAAACACUUUAAACCAAAACAAAAAUCUUCAUUGAAAAUAAUCUUCCUGGGCAGCACAUGGGAUCAGCUGUAAAAUUGUCAGGGUAAUAUCUUACAUAGCCCAGCUACAUACAGGAAGUGCUUAGUCAAUAGUGUAUUGGAUUGAUCUCUCUGAUCUUCAGCAAAUACAGAAAGUAGGUGUUUUAAAUAAUUCCAUAUUGAACUGGAAUGCUUAAAUUAAGUCUUGUGAUUGUAGGGGAAAGAAAAUCAAAAAACACGUGGAAAAACAUUCUAUUUAGCAAGUGUACAUACUAAGGAGUUUCUUGUCUGUAUUUUGGGGGUUUUAGGUUGAGGGUUUUGAGGUUUUUUGUGAAGUGUGUAAAAGCCCCACGUACCAUCCAGUUGCAAGUGAGUGCUCUAUUAACUGAAGAUUGUGAGAGGCUGUUCACACAAAACUCUAUUGAAAGCUCAGCCAGUUGUUCAAGUUGGUGUUAUCUGAGCGGAAUUAGAGAAAUGUAAUGAGCGUGCUAUGCAAUGUCAGCACUGUACAGCUGAAGGGGUCCUUGUAAUGAUUUAAAGUUUGUGAAAGUUCUCUUUGGAGUGAGUAUUAGUAAAACAAAAAUUGUUCAUGAAACUUUCCUGAUUUGUUUAUGAAGGUUGAUUUAUGAAACUUCUUGAGCUAGCGUGCAUGAAGAGAUGCAGAAAACCAACUGUUAGUAGUUUUGAUGGUCGUCUUGGCAUUACAUUUUGUGCUAAAUUUCAGUGAAUUCUGAAUAACACUUUUAAAGUAAAAGCUGCUUUAACUGAAGAACUUUCAACCGAAGAAAACUUUUGUUUGCAUGAAGUCUGUACUGUUUGCUGUUAAUUCAGAUAUUCUGAGAGCACGGCUAGUUCCAGGUGUAUAUUCUCUAUGAAGCAUCUCUUAAACAUAAUAUUUUAACCAUUUUCCCUAGUGAGACCAGGAUGUGAAUUGCUGAUGUGUAUUGCAUUUGUGCUUAAAUACCUGAUUUCAGAGUGUGUUAAGCCUUGAUCUAUUUUUGAUAAACAAAGAAAAGUAGCAUUUUUAUCUAAUUUCCAUUUAAUGAUAAGUAUAUUCAUGCAGGGAAAAACAUAUAAUCAUGGCUUGAUGCAGCGAUUUUAAGCCAAGAAAACGGCAGGAUGGCACUAGUAAAUCUGAAAUGAAGAUGCAUGUCUCCUCAGAAAGGCAUUCUGUUUUUUUUCCCCUCUUUAUACCAAAUGGAUUCCUUCCUUAUGCCAGAAUUACAGAGGUGAAGCAAGUACCAGAACUUUUACCCUUUGUUUUUUAAAAAUGAACAUGGGCUUUUGCCCAGAGUGUCUUUGUCCUGUCACUUCAUUUUCAGGGGGUGUCAGUUAAAUGAGAAAUAUAGAAUAAGUAUUUUUAAUUAAAAUCAGAUUUAAGCUAUUAAUUAUUUUUAAAUUUUCUAUAUUAAUAGAGACCUAAUGAAUGGAAAUUACAGGCCUGUAUUGCAAAUAUUGAACAGUGCUUAUGUGUUUCUAACGAAACCAGUAUAUAUGUGAAACUUGAAAUGUGUAAAGGUGAAAAUUGGAAGAUUGUUUUUGUGUCGAUAGGUUUAGAAAUUGAAAUUCUUAAUAUCCAAUACCAAAACCCUACAAAAGGGCUCAUGAAAAGAAAAUGUAAUGUGUUUUGAUGAACAGCCUGUGUAAUACAAUCAAUGGGUGUGAUGUUUUUGUUCUGUAUUAUAUUUAUUAUAUGUAAGUAAACAAUAAAGAUUAUAAAUCUUA